rnacentral:lncRNA from 1 species
AGAGAUUGUGUUACCUAGGGAGAUUGUAUAUCCCUGUUUCCUUGUAAAUCCUUAGGAGAGGGUGAAGGAGGUCAAGCGUCCUCCUCUCUAGCGGUGAUCCACACAGCAGGGUUGCGACGACGCUCCUCAAAACUCCAGGCCUACUCUGAGGUGGAGAGGGAGAGGAGAAUAGGAAAGGCAAGCAAAGACUCUAGCCUAUGAGGCUGUGAAUCCCUCCUAUUUAUAGAGAUCCCGUGUCGAACCCUAAUGGGUCCUUCCCUAGUGGGUAUUGGAUCUGCAUCCAAUAAG